AAAAAAGCUUAUCAAAACACGCACAAUCACAUUGCUUAUGUUAUUUGAAUCACAAUAAUGAUAACUAAUUCAGCAUUUUCGUAUGCGAGACUAAUUUCGUUUGCACCUAUCAAUUUGAAAGUUGAAGAAGUGUCAAUAAGUUCUCUCUUCACAAGAGAAAACAACUCGAGAAACAAUUCAUCAUCAUUUUUGUAACAACAAGAUAAGUAAUAACACCAAUUUCGUUUUUAUAUAUGUAUUAUACAAUAUGUUUGUAUGCAAGACAUGUGCCUAAUGCAUGUUUUAAAAAUGAACAAAAGACGUAAUAUUAAGAUUCUUAUCAACUACGUUUAUUAGGAUACACACAAAAAAACAAGGAAUUGGAAAAACUCAAUAAUACAAAUUCAGUCAAAAUAACAAGGUUUAAUUCAAUAUUUGCUCCAUUGUGUUUUACUCUUAAAAUUAUUUAUAAAUCCACUCAAAUCUAAGUUAAAAUCAAAUCUUUAAAGAAAUCAUUAAUAUUGAAUAACACAUGAUUUUAAAAUUCAUUUUUUAAUAGAACCAAUAACAACAGAUUUGAAAUUGGAUUUUAAAAUGAUAAAACCAAUAAUACUUGAUUUGACUUGGAUUUUAAAAUCCAUUAAAACACUUAAACCAAAUAGAAACGUAUGUUUGUAAACACAUGCAUAGUAACACAUGCAUAGUGAUGAUAUGUUCGUUUAACACGUGUCAUACCGAACAUUUCACGUUAAACAUCUUUGUUAAUUACACAGCAAGAAACAGGAAAAAUAGGUAAACCAUACGCAGCGGGGAUGAACUGAACACGUCGUGAUUAAUAAUAUUAACAAAGCUAGUUAAAUUUUUAAAUUUUAGUUACAAGUUACACGAAGAAAAAGCAGUUGGUGGACCAGCAUGGCAGCAUCGGACUUUGACUUUUCUUCAGACAUCGCUCUUAGACGAGAGUGAUAAUUGUCGAUUUGCCAAACAAUUUGUACAAAAACAAACAAGAUCGAAAGGACAAAGCUUUUUGCUCCUUUUUUCAACUUUUCUUGGUUCUGUUUUGUUCUCUUUGGUUCUAUUCCCCUCAGUGAAUCUUUCUAGCUGCGAUAUAUAUAUAUUUUUUUGGAUUUUCUUAUCCGGUACGGGAUUUCCGGUUCAUCUUCUAUCGUCAUUUGCUGUUGCCUAAAUCUUAUGGGAAACUGAGCAGAUUCGUGUCCUAGCAUCAUCUCCUUUGACUCGUUUUAUCUCCUAUGCAAAGUCUUUUUUUUUUACAAUCUCAGGGGAUGCGCUAUUUGCGUUGAGGGAUUUAGUUACGUGCAUUGCCUAAUCAACUCAGUGACUGGAAUCAGAAUCAAGUGAAUCCUUGCAUUUGGUCCCAAGUCAUUUCUGAUGACAAAAACUUUGUCACUUCUCUGUUCGCCUAAAGACAGACUAGUGAUGUCUGAAGUUUCACGGAUGUUAGAAGGAGAAGGGCUUGCAGAGAGAGAUGGGAAGAGUGGUAAAAAGUGGAAAUCACGAGAUGUCAUGAGUUCGAGAGGUUGCAGAGGAGGUUUGAUUGGGGUGAAGAUUCUAGAAGUAUUGUUCUUCUAUCAAACCAUUUAAGAAAGAUGACCAAAUAUCAAAUCUUGAUUUUACUGGAAAGUUGUAUACAUUGGCUAUCUUUGACUUGAAUCCUGUGAAAGAGAAUGGCCCUAAUGUUUGAUUGUUGCCUGUUCUUUGAACAUAAUUUAUUUGACUUUUUUUGUUGACU